rnacentral:rRNA from 1 species
GGGGCAUUACGACAUGCGAUAUACAUGCAAGUCGAGCGGACAGAAGGGAGCUUGCUCCCGGAUGUUAGCGGCGGACGGGUGAGUAACACGUGGGUAACCUGCCUGUAAGACUGGGAUAACUCCGGGAAACCGGAGCUAAUACCGGAUGCUUCCUUGAACCGCAUGGUUCAAGGAUGAAAGACGGUUUCGGCUGUCACUUACAGAUGGACCCGCGGCGCAUUAGCUAGUUGGUGGGGUAAUGGCUCACCAAGGCGACGAUGCGUAGCCGACCUGAGAGGGUGAUCGGCCACACUGGGACUGAGACACGGCCCAGACUCCUACGGGAGGCAGCAGUAGGGAAUCUUCCGCAAUGGACGAAAGUCUGACGGAACAACGCCGCGUGAGUGAUGAAGGUUUUCGGAUCGUAAAGCUCUGUUGUUAGGGAAGAACAAGUGCCAGAGUAACUGCUCGCACCUUGACGGUACCUAACCAGAAAGCCACGGCUAACUACGUGCCAGCAGCCGCGGUAAUACGUAGGUGGGAAGCGUUGUCCGGAAUUAUUGGGCGUAAAGGGCUCGCAGGCGGUUUCUUAAGUCUGAUGUGAAAGCCCCCGGCUCAACCGGGGAGGGUCAUUGGAAACUGGGAAACUUGAGUGCAGAAAAGGAGAGUGGAAUUCCACGUGUAGCGGUGAAAUGCGUAGAGAUGUGGAGGAACACCAGUGGCGAAAGCGACUCUCUGGUCUGUAACUGACGCUGAGGAGCGAAAGCGUGGGGAGCGAACAGGAUUAGAUACCCUGGUAGUCCACGCCGUAUACGAUGAGUGCUAAGUGUGAUGGGGUUUCCGCCCCUUAGUGCUGCAGCUAACGCAUUAAGCACUCCGCCUGGGGAGUACAGUCGCAAGACUGAAACUCAAAGGAGUUGACGGGGGCCCGCACAAGCGGUGGGAGCAUGUGGUUUAAUUCGAAGCACGCGCAGAAACUUACAAGUCUUGACAUCCUCUGACAACCCUAUAGAUAGGGCUUCCCUCUGGGACAAAUGACACGUGUGCAUGGUGUCGUCACCUCCUGUCUGAGAUGUGGUUAAGUCCCGCACGAGCGCCACCCUUGGAUCUUAGUGCAGCAUCAGUUGGCACCUCUAAGGUGACUGCCGGUGACAACCGAGAAGUGAUGACGUCAAUCAUCAUGCCUUAUGACUGGCUACACACUGCUCUCAAUUGACGAACAAGGGCUGCGGAACGCCAGGUUAGCAUCUACGUUUCCAGUUCGGAUCGAACUCGAACUCUGCAACUGCGUGAAACUGUGAUACUCCAUGGAU